GUACUCCAUACGAUGUUUCAAACGCAAAAGAGGACGUCUCAAAGUGUCGGCGCGUUAUGAUGACGAUAAAAAUGUCAAUUGUGGUUUUUCUUUUCCCGAGCUAACAUGCUUCUGUUAAGACUGUAAACUUGAAAUUAUGGCUUUAACCCGUCUGAGUGGGCUGCGCCCCCUGCUGUGUCAGUCCCUUGUGCGACAAGUCAGGUCUCCCCUUGUGGCCACCUCCAGGGUACGUGCACCACUUCUGUGCCCCAGCACCACCUGCUACCCCCCCUGCACCAGGCUCUAUGCCACCAAGAAGGCAAAAGCCAAAGCCAAGGGCCUGACAGCUAAGGUGAAUAUUAAUUCGGCUCUAGUUGAAGACAUCAUCAGUUUGGAUGAAGUGAAGGGGGACAUGACAGCUGUUCUCAAUGCACUCAAAGAUGACUUCACACGCAACCUCAGCAUCCGAACCUCGCCAGGUGCUCUGGAUCACAUUGUGGUGACGACACAAGAUGGGAAGUUCCCUCUCAACCAACUGGGACAGGUCUCCAUGAAAUCCCCUCAGCUCAUUAUGGUCAACAUGAGCAGUUUCCCAGAGGCUACAGCGGCUGCCACCCAUGCCCUUAGACAGAGUAGCAUGAACCUUAACCCAGAGGUGGACGGGAUGAUCAUCAAGGUGCCCGUUCCAAAAGUAACGCGGGAACAUAGAGAAAACCUUGCCAAGCUGGCCAAACAGUUCGGCAACAAGGCUAAAGACUCACUAAGGAAAGUGCGAUCUAAUGCUGUCACACAGGUCAAAAAGACCAAGGAAGGACACUCAGAGGACACCAUACGACUCGUGGAAAAACAGAUUCAGCAGAUGGCAGACAACAUUGCAGAGGACAUUGACAAACAGCUUGCUGCCAAGACCAAGGAGCUGUUAGGCUGACUAAAAGGAGAAUAUUGUUUGUUUACUACCAACCUACAACUAACCAAGUUUUCUAAAGGAAGGAACCCGCUGUUAUUGACUUAUUAUCACCAUAUAAAGUUCUUGUGGUAAACUUGUUAGCAAAGAUUGUCUUAUUUACUCAUCCAGCAGAUAUGGGGCAUCUUUAGCAUUUACUUGGACUUGUGUUUCUGGCGUCACAAUGA